CCCUACAGCUUUCGCCUGGUUUCCCACUGAAGCUAAGCAAGGUUGACCCUCCAGUACCAGUACCUGGAUGGGAGACCUUGGGAAAACUAAGGUUGCUGCUGGAA
rnacentral:rRNA from 1 species